CUGGCAGAGGGGCCCAGUCUAGUCUGUGACCUGAGCCAUCAUGGUAGGGUGUCCAGGGUGAGGGGAGGGUGGUGUGAAUCCCCAGUAAUGCAGGUCCUUUCCAGGCCAGGCCCCUGGUCCCCAGGAGUGCGGGGAUGCCUGAGGUCUACUGCUGCCUUAUCCAGAGCUGCCAUCCCCGGCGAUGACUCAGAGUUCCUGUGGCCCCAGCAUCAUCCCUCCAUCCCUGGCUGUGAGGCAGGAGCAGAGUUGCAGACCUGAGAGGCCUUGAAUUUGUUUGAUAUAGGACUUUGCCACCAGACAAAGUGCUUUGCCUGUGAGGUCUGGCUUGGCCUGGCCUCUGAGAAAGAACAAACACAGACCUCACUGGAAGGAACCUGGAGAACGGGAGAGGAGAGGCUGCUGCUGUCUGCCCUCCCAGCAGCAGAUAUAAAGACAAUGGGCUUCUAAGUCCCCUAGAGUCCCAGCUGUGUAAUUUAAGGCGAGUUCAUCUCUCACAGCCUCAGUUUCCUCAUUUGCUGGCACCUGUCUUUCUCCUUCAUAGCCAUUGUCACUGUUGCAAUGAUAUCAACAAUGCUUACAUUUCAGAUAGAUCCCCAGCUGGGUUGAAAGGAACGUCAAGACCCUUCCUUUCUUAUGACCUAUGUAUCAACUCCCUUCUACCUUGCCUCCCUCCACUUGGAGCGAGUUCUAGUUGGUGAAAUGUAGCCAGAGGUUCCUGGAAAGGCUUUCCUUCUCAAGUAAAGCCUGGCUCAGAGAAAACCACUGGUCUCUUUCCUUUUCUUCCUCCUGACAUGAACAUGGGGCAGGAAGGAGCAUGGAGAAGACAAGAACAAGGCUCUCAGAAGGAAAUGGUGUGGCUGGAGCCAUGAGAACUGGUUGUGGAGGGGGUGAGGAAGGCAAAUAUAAUUUCUGACCUACGUAAUGAUGUAUGCACAAGAAGCCUCUCUUGAAUGUAUUAAUUCAGUAAACAGUUAUGGAGUCCUUACAAUGUGCUAGUGGGACUUUGAAGAUGAAUCCAAAUUUGGAUCCUGGCCUGGAAAGGCUCAAAGCCCAAUAUGGGAGCCUGGAUACAAAUGUGAAACUUAUCUUCUUUUAUUAACCAAUCAAUCACCUCCUGCCAAAACAACAUCAGCAAAAACAACAGAAAAAAACAAAAACAAAAACAAAAACAAAUCUGUGUACACAAGACCUUUGUUUCCACAGCAGACUUGGCUAAAGGUUUGGGCAUGCAUAUGCAUACCCCCAAAAUUAAAAAUGGAAAAUUGAA
rnacentral:lncRNA from 1 species